GAUGAACGCUGGCGGCGUGCCUAAUACAUGCAAGUCGAGCGAACAGACGAGGAGCUUGCUCCUCUGACGUUAGCGGCGGACGGGUGAGUAACACGUGGAUAACCUACCUAUAAGACUGGGAUAACUUCGGGAAACCGGAGCUAAUACCGGAUAAUAUAUUGAACCGCAUGGUUCAAUAGUGAAAGACGGUUUUGCUGUCACUUAUAGAUGGAUCCGCGCCGCAUUAGCUAGUUGGUAAGGUAACGGCUUACCAAGGCAACGAUGCGUAGCCGACCUGAGAGGGUGAUCGGCCACACUGGAACUGAGACACGGUCCAGACUCCUACGGGAGGCAGCAGUAGGGAAUCUUCCGCAAUGGGCGAAAGCCUGACGGAGCAACGCCGCGUGAGUGAUGAAGGUCUUCGGAUCGUAAAGCUCUGUUAUUAGGGAAGAACAAAUGUGUAAGUAACUAUGCACGUCUUGACGGUACCUAAUCAGAAAGCCACGGCUAACUGCGUG
rnacentral:rRNA from 1 species